GUGAUAUUUUAUAUCAGUUAAAAUGAGUGGCUCGUAUAUAUGUACAAUUUAGGAGAUAUAAGUAACAAAGAUUAUCAUGUGUUUAUUUUUCUCCAAUCCCACUACAAAAGCUCACCUUCUUGGGCUCCACGACAACUAUAAAUUAUCAUGUGUUUAAAAAUGAUGUUUGUUUUUAUCUACUUGCUAUGAUGAGAUCAAGAAGUGAUGAAAGUUAAACUUAUUUGCUUUAUGAGUCUUUAUCCUAAGCGGUUACCUGAGCAACACAAGGUUCUCCAGAAGCACAGUUUCUUAGUAGAUAAGAUGAGGUUUGAAUCCGAAGACACUUACUCUUUCUUACUUUUUGGUGGCGGUGCCUUGCUUACCCUGUGGCUAGCAUCAGCUGUUGUUGGAGCAAUUGAUUCUAUCUCGGUGUUCCCCAAAUUGCUGGAGAUUGUUGUGCUUGGGUCGUGUGACAAGGAGGCUCGACUCGUGGGUCUACGGCGUGGCUCACUCGUGGGUGCGACGGUGCUUGCGGUGGUGGGUCUACGGCGUGGUUCGCUCUACCAGUGCCAUACCCAAAGUCUGGAAGUUUGGCGCUGCUUAUGAGGCCAUGGCUAAACUCAUCACUAAAUAAAUUUAAAUCCAUAUAUGGAUAUUACAUGUAGCUACUCAGCUGGAGCUUUGGAGUUCUGAUAACUUUUUGGAGGUGGGUUUUUGAGUUUUGUUGAAGGGUUUUUCUUAUAGUUAUUUUCCUACUUUCAUUAAUACAACUUUCUUUGUUCUUGCAUGAAAUUUUUCUGUCGUGGGCGAUUCAUUUUUGGCCCCGAUGCAGCGUCCGUGAUUCUACCUGUAUUUCUUAUAGCUGGGCCUGCAAUUGCCUUUUGUGUAAAGGUUUUUUAUGAAAUAGAUUACAUAAGGUACUACUAUAAAAGUAACUGGAAUCUCGUAUUGGUCGUUGGCGCAAUUCUUACUCUUUUGGUAGGUAUUUUAUUUCUUCUUUCUAGCAUUGAUAUCUUCUAAGAGGAAAGAUUUCUGGGCAAGUAUAAUGUUUUUUUUAAUAUAUUUCUUUUCAAUCACACUCUACAUCUUGUGAUUAUACUUUGCCACUAUGGCAAUCUUUUUCCUAGGCUGUUUUCCAAUUUCUUUUACCAUUUGAAAAAUUCUUUCAGUUAUUUGUUCCACAAUUCUUCUCACGUAUAACUGAGUUAAAAAAAAAUCCUUUGAUCAACUUUAUAGAAAGUAUCACUAUAAAUUUGAAAUCCAUUAGCUAUAGUAUAGAAAAAUUACUUUCUAUAAUUAAUAGUAUAGUAAUGUAAUUUGUAAUAAAAAUUAAAUGUUUUCUAUUAAAAAAUAUUAUCACUUUAAGCAUAUUUCUUUUGGCACAAUAGGUCCAGUUUCGAUCUUGAACUAACUCACUCUACUUAAUAGGCCGAAGUCUAUUUGGUAAUUUUUUUUAAUAGCCAGUAGCAUCUUAAGUUUACAUGGACAAAUAAUAGUCUAUAAUAGGACUUAAUUGCUAGGAUCUUAAGUUUACCUUUUUCGGAGUUGUAGGUGUAUAUUGGAUUGGAGUACUAGGAAUUUUUAAAAGCGUUAUGACAUAGGUAAGACAAGUUUAGCUUUUGAAAAUUGACUCAAUGAUAAGAGUGGCCAGUGUAAUUUCCUCUUAAUUAUGAUUCAUUUUCUUCAGAAUGUAAUAAACUUGGGAUAAGUUUCUGUAAUAAGUUGCUUUAUGUGUGUCUUUUUCUUAGAAUGAACCUAAUUGUGAGAGAGUACAUGGAGCUCUUUGUGUUUGUUUAUAUUGUUUACUUUGACAUAAUCUAACAAAUGGACAAAUCUGCAUGACUUGACAUUUCUCUUCCUAACAUCUAGUAGAGAUCUGGGUAUUGUUCCUAGAAAUACAAGGCCUCUUGAACCAAAUGAAGCUGAUGUUCCUACACUGUCAACGGAUAAAACUUUAGAGUAAGCAUACUUGAGUCAUGGAGGACCCCAGAACCCUUUCUAGUUAGCAUUCCAAAGCUAAUAAGGAAUUGAUUGGAACGUUAAUAUGUGCCAUAGAAAUUUUGCGAUCAAGCUUGGUGAUUGGGUAAAUAUUAUCACUGGUCAAAAUGGAAGUAAGGCGUUCUCUCUAUUUAUCUUGUUAUUAACAUUUGAAGUAGUUUUUGAGUCUUACAUGACAACUGAGUAUAGGUUUGUAUUCUCCUAUGCGUACUAUUUCCCUUAUUUUGAAAUGUAUAAAAAUAAUCCAAAUAAAGAUAUUCAUCAAAUAAUCAACACAUGGAGAUAAAGUGAAGAUGUUUCCCAUUUAGGAUUGCAAUUCUAUUUUCUUUCUCAUACAUGAUUAUUGUCUAUUUCUCCCUAAAUCUCUAUCCCUAUAUCUUUCUAUUUAUCUUUUUUCUGUUGGUCUUUUAUUUCUUGAAUAUGGGACCAUUGUAUUUAGUUUCACAAUCACCAAUUUCUCACAGUCGUAUAUGUUUCUUAUACUUCAAAUUUUCAUCCCAUGUUGAGUAUUUUGUGCCCUGCAAUGUUUAGUUCACACGCCUCCUCUUGUUGAGUAUUUCUUGCAAGAUUACAAAGAUGAGAUCAAUACUGAAAAUCCUUUGGGAAUGCAUGUAGGUUUUAGUUCUUUUUAUUAUCUUCUUUCUAUUUUUUUUUUUAUGGGGAUAACUUGAAUUUUAAGUAGGUCUAGUGCUUAUACAAUUUCUAAAGUAUAUUUUAGCUGUGCAGGGUGAGCUUGCAAUCACCUUUGGUGAGCUAUUGAGGAAAUUAUGGUCCUCAGGGCGAAUCAUUUUGUUUGAAUCAUUUAGCUGAGUUUCCUUGGGGACCGUAAGUUCAUACGGUCACAUUACAUGUACUAAAGAAGGCUGGUUGGUAAUCAGAACGUUUGGUGAGCCAUGCAGAUUGCAAAUUUGAGAAACCAAUGGAGCAUGAAUGUGUGCAUGUCCAUGAGAUUACAGAAGCUGCUGGGACUAAAGAGGCAGAAGCAGAUGCUAUGUAUGAUAAAGAACUAAAGGAGGCCAUUAGAGGAGUACAGGAUGUUGUGACUGUUAUAAACUAGCAUUUGGAAGAGAGAGCGAGCAAGGGAUAUAUGAAGAAGUAUUACAUGGUGACCAAGACUUUUCAACAGACCCAUGGCCUAGUAUUUCUGAAGGUGCCAAAGAUUUAGUAAGGAAAAUGCUUAUUCGAGAUUCCAAAAGGCGGAUAUCUGCACAUGAUGUUUUGUGGUUGCAAUUAUUGUUGAGCAAAGCUUUUUGGAAAAGCAUCUGUUAUUCAUUUCAGCUGCUUUAUAAAUAAUUGGUAAGCUAUUAGCUAGUUUAGGAUGAUAAUAAUAAUUUCUGCUUGAUUAAUUUCAUAUCUGACAGGUUACAACUAAGUUCCUAUGUGUAUAUUGUACCAGAAUUUAGGAGUCUAAUAGUUUAUGAGUUAUGUGAUGUGAACAUUGUAAAAUAUAUAUUGGGAAACUAAAUAUAUAAAUAACCACCCUGGUUACCAGUUUUAGAUGAGCUGUAACAAAUUUUUGUUAACUUUGGAUUAGGAGGUUAGGCUUCUUAGUGUGACGCAAGACACUUUGGUUAGAUCAAUUAUCAUUGUCUUGUCUAUAUUGAUGCUCAUCUACUGAAACGAGGCUCUACUCUUUAUAGGUUUGGAAGUAUUUUUGCUUCAUAUGUUCAGAAUGGACUGCAGGAAUUAAUGUAUUAGCAAGGUUUUUUAUGUGUGGAAAAGGUAGAAAGAAGUUCAUGAAAAACUUGGUAAUGUACGGAUGUAAGUAGGGGAUGGAGUAACAUUUCUGGACAUACUAGUCUGGAGAUUUUUUUUUUUUAAACACAUCACAAAAAAAAUAUAUUGUUUUCCUCAAAUAUGUGCUUCGGAGUGUUCUUUUAUACUUUGAAAAUUAGUUUCAACACUAGUUUCGGAAUGGUCGUUUUAUUUUUUUAAAAUCAGUUAAAAACUUGUUUUCCUCAAAUAUGUGUUUCGAAGUGUUCUUUUAUACUUUGAAAAUUAAAUUAAUUCAAAACUUGUAUUUAUUUUUUAAACUAUUUGUUACGGAAUGGUCGUUUUAUUUUUUAAAAAUAGGUUGAAAACUUGCCGCAAAAUUCGACUCCCCUUCGUGACUUAAUUAGUCCUCGAUUAUUUUGUUUACAUUUUUCAAUUUCUUAAUCUGUUGGAAUUUUUUUUAAUCUGAAUAACAUUUGGUUCUUCUCUUCUGACUCUACAAGUGAAGAUAAAGCAGAAGAGGUAAUCAAUCUAACCAUGUCCAUGUAGCAGUGGUGAGUUGUGAAUCUGUAAGCUGGUAGUCAUGGAUGUUUCUUUUUGUUUCAAAUGUUUAUUGAAAUAUUCUGCAAAUUUGGUUUGUUGUGUUGAAAGUAUUAGGAAGUGAAUCGAUAUAGGCCUUAGACUUGUAAGGAGUUGUAUAUUAGAUUAGAUGAUUGAUUCAAAUGCAAAUAUGUAUGUAAUCAAGGAUAUUGAUUCCAUGGAAAGGCCUCCAUGAGGGUAGAUUGAGUAUAAGCAAUCGUGGCUCAAUUGAUAAUCAUCAUCUACUCUAGAUGUUUCAGAUAAAUCAUUUGGCACAGAUAGCAUACGAGCCUGUACAACUUAAUGCUGAGAAGGUAACUGUGCCUUCAAUUUUGGGCGAGCCUACUUGUUCAAUCCUGCAUAAGCUUUUCGGCAGUGCAUUAACACUUAACCUUAAGUGUUGCUGGCACUGGCACUGGCUCUUCUACUUCCCUUCCCUUGAGCAUCAUGAUAAUUGAGUAGAUGAGACAGAGAGCCCAGACUCUGUACAAUCUUUCAAGUUUGCUCGUUGGUUUCAUAAAGAAGGUAUAUUGAGAUGAUUUCUUUGGAGCAAUUCUUGAAGAAUGGAAGAAUGUAUUUCACUAAUUUUUGUAUACAUUUCUUAUUUUGUAUUUAGUGAUAAAGGAAUCUGAAUUGGGCAUAAAUUAUGUUGUAAUAUGAUUUCUUAAGCCUAGACUAGUAGACUAAAUAUUGUAAUUACAUUUGAGUAAUUAAUAAAAAUCUAUUUAUGUUA